GCCUGGCCCAAAAUAUGUUUUUAAAGGAGCUAACUUGGGCUGGGCGCGGUGGCUCACACCUGUAAUCCUACCACUUUGGGAGGUCAAGGUGGGCAGAUCACUUGAGGUCAGGAGUUCGAGACCAGCCUGGCCAACAUGGUAAAAACCCAUCUUUACUAAAUAUACAAAAAUUAGCCUGGCAUGGUGGUGCACACCUGUAAUCCCAGCUACUCAGGAGGCAGAGGCAGGAGAAUCACUUGAACCCAGGAGGCAGAGGUAAUCCCAGCACUUUGGGAGGCCGAGGUGGGUG
rnacentral:lncRNA from 1 species